CAAUGGGAGCUUGCUCCCGGCGAUCAGCGGCGGACGGGUGAGUAACACGUGGGCAACCUGCCCUGCAGAUGGGGAUAACUCCGGGAAACCGGGGCUAAUACCGAAUAAUCAGUUCCUCCGCAUGGAGGAACUCUGAAAGGCGGCUUCGGCUGCCACUGCAGGAUGGGCCCGCGGCGCAUUAGCUAGUUGGUGGGGUAAUGGCCUACCAAGGCAACGAUGCGUAGCCGACCUGAGAGGGUGAUCGGCCACACUGGGACUGAGACACGGCCCAGACUCCUACGGGAGGCAGCAGUAGGGAAUCUUCCACAAUGGACGAAAGUCUGAUGGAGCAAUGCCGCGUGAGUGAAGAAGGUUUUCGGAUCGUAAAGCUCUGUUGCGAGGGAAGAACACGUACGGGAGUAACUGUCCGUACCUUGACGGUACCUCGUCAGAAAGCCACGGCUAACUACGUGCCAGCAGCCGCGGUAAUACGUAGGUGGCAAGCGUUGUCCGGAAUUAUUGGGCGUAAAGCGCGCGC
rnacentral:rRNA from 1 species